rnacentral:rRNA from 1 species
AGCUAGAGUUUGAUCCUGGCUCAGAGCGAACGCUGGCGGCAGGCCUAAUACAUGCAAGUCGAACGCACCUUCGGGUGAGUGGCGGACGGGUGAGUAACGCGUGGGAACGUGCCCAAAGGUACGGAACAACUGAGGGAAACUUCAGCUAAUACCGUAUGUGCCCUUAGGGGGAAAGAUUUAUCGCCUUUGGAGCGGCCCGCGUUGGAUUAGCUAGUUGGUGGGGUAAAGGCCUACCAAGGCUACGAUCCAUAGCUGGUCUGAGAGGAUGAUCAGCCACACUGGGACUGAGACGCGGCCCAGACUCCUACGGGAGGCAGCAGUGGGGAAUAUUGGACAAUGGGGGCAACCCUGAUCCAGCAAUGCCGCGUGGGCGAUGAAGGCCUUCGGGUUGUAAAGCCCUUUUGCACGCGACGAUGAUGACGGUAGCGUGAGAAGAAGCCCCGGCUAACUUCGUGCCAGCAGCCGCGGUACGC